rnacentral:rRNA from 1 species
GAUGAACGCUGGCGGCGUGCCUAAUACAUGCGAGUCGAGCGAACAGACGAGGAGCUUGCUCCUCUGACGUUAGCGGCGGACGGGUGAGUAACACGUGGAUAACCUACCUAUAAGACUGGGAUAACUUCGGGAAACCGGAGCUAAUACCGGAUAACAUGUUGAACCGCAUGGUUCAACAGUGAAAGACGGUCUUGCUGUCACUUAUAGAUGGAUCCGCGCCGCAUUAGCUAGUUGGUAAGGUAACGGCUUACCAAGGCAACGAUGCGUAGCCGACCUGAGAGGGUGAUCGGCCACACUGGAACUGAGACACGGUCCAGACUCCUACGGGAGGCAGCAGUAGGGAAUCUUCCGCAAUGGGCGAAAUCCUGACGGAGCAACGCCGCGUGAGUGAAGAAGGUCUUCGGAUCGUAAAACUCUGUUAUUAGGGAAGAACAAAUGUGUAAGUAACUAUGCACGUCUUGACGGUACCUAAUCAGAAAGCCACGGCUAACUACGUG